CCUCAAGAAAACGGUAGUUAAGGCUGAGCCCGGAUUUGCCCGAACCGGAAACACCGGGUACCAUUUGGCCGAACCAGAACUCAGCAGUUCAUCCCGAAUUUGUUUGCGGAACCAGGCUAUCUGCAGGGAUUUCCUGGCAUUAGAGGGCUUCCUGGACCUGUGGGCCCACAGGGGACUAAAGGGAAACAAGGCCAGCCGGGAUGUAAAGGUGCUCCUGGCCCUGAAGGCCAACAGCAGGAGACUGCCGCCCAGAGGCGCUGCUUAAUCCUGUGCCCCAGAUCGAGGGAGUAGGGCCGAGCCCGACCAGAAGGAUAGGGCGGCUUCGGAUCCACGACACAGCGGGUAUCACAGGUCCUCAGGGUCCACCAGGAUGAAAGGGUUUCCAGGUCUUCCGGGACUUCCUGGAAACAAGGGGAUGAAAGGUAUGCAGGGAAUUGCUGGAGCAAAGGGACUGAAAGGACACAGAGGCCCCCAACAUGUGCCACUGUCAACGCUCCCCUGCAUCGAAGCUGUGAAUAGGAAGCUAACUUCAGCCACAGAAUAAGAAGGUGCGAAUGAGAGGCUGCUUGGCGCCCCAUCCUGGGUUGCUCCCUGCCUUGAGCCCGCAGCCUCCUGGAUAGGCUCUGGACACCCGGUUUCAGAAAAUGGAUGGAUGAAUGAAGCCAAACAAAUGUGUGAACUGUGAAUAAGUAACGAAUUUCAGCCUCGUCAGCCUCAUACGGCAGUUAUUGUUGAAUUUUGCUUAACAUGAAUUCCCUGCAAUGGUGAAUAAAAUACCUUUUAUUAGGAAAGAAUGCGCUGCCCAUUAAA